UACGUAGGGGGCAAGCGUUAUCCGGAUUCACUGGGCGUAAAGCGCGCGUAGGCUGUUGUGUAAGUUGGGGGUGAAAUCCCACGGCUCAACCGUGGAACAGCCCUUGAUACUGCGCGACUUGAAUCCGGGAGAGGGUGGCGGAAUUCCAGGUGUAGGAGUGAAAUCCGUAGAUAUCUGGAGGAACAUCAGUGGCGAAGGCGGCCACCUGGACCGGUAUUGACGCUGAGGCGCGAAAGCGUGGGGAGCAAACAGG
rnacentral:rRNA from 1 species